UUUGUCACUGUGAGCAGUGCUGAAAUGCAUUUUGGCAGUGGCACAAAACUUACAGUAAUUGGGAAGAAUGAUGAAAUCAUCCCUCCAGCUGUGGCCAUCUUUUCCCCAUCAAAGCAGGAGAUCCAGCAGAAGAGCAAGGCCACGCUGGUGUGCCUGGCCUCUGGUUUCUACCCUGACCACCUGACUCUGGUGUGGAGGGUGAAUGGUGUGAAAAGGACCGAAGGGGUGGGCACAGACGAGUCCUCCACCCAGAAUGGGAGCACCUACUCCCUGACCAGCCGACUGAGGAUGCCAGCCUGGGAGUGGUUCAACCCUCUGAAUCGCUUCGAGUGUGUUGCCAGUUUUUUUCAGAAUGGAACAACAGCAUCAAUUAACAAAUUUAUCCAUGGUGAUGCUGGUUGUGCACUCACAGAAGAGUCGUACUUGCGGUAUGGAAAUUCCCUGAAACUCACUUACCUCAUCCUCUGUGGCAAAGCCUUGGUCUAUGCAGUUUUGGUGAGUGGUCUGGUGUGGACAGCCAAGACUGGUGUCAAGUUAUCUAGAGAAUAAAUGAAGAGCCCUUGUCAUCACAUCAGCAGGAACAUGACAAGUUCGCUACAUUUCCACUGCAAAAAAUCUGUUCUUCCACAAACUUCUGAAUAUAAUUUUUUUGUCAUUAUCUGUUGCCACUCUGAUCUGCACUAUUUUGUAAUCUCUGCUGAGCUUUCCCUGUAUUUCCAUAUCAUAUUUAAUGUAUCAUAUUUCAUUGUAAGACAUCUUUAAACGUAGCACCUUCUCAAUCCACAUAGGCUGAGAACUCAUCUCCUUGAUUUAGGAAUAAAGGUUUUGCUUAUUUUCCUUUGAAAAGCAUGAGUAGUUGUAUUUAAAUUUGGUCUUCUGUAGUGAUAAUGUCCUACCACACAACUUUCAAUGAUGAAUAGAGCCAUGAGGAACUCUCAUUAAAGAUCAUUCACUGACAA